CUGCCCAAUGAAUAAAUUUAAUGGCUGCAGUAUAAAUAACUGUACAAAGGUAGCAUAAUCAAUUGAUUUUUAAAUGAAAUCUGGAAUAAAAGAAUUAAUGAAAUAUAUACUGUCUCAUAUAUAUAAUAUAAAUUUAAACUUUUAAUAAAAAUGUUAAAAUUUAUUUAUGGGACGAUAAGACCCUAUAGAAUUUUAUAUUAAAUUAUUUUUAUAUAUAUUAAAUAUAAAAUUUAAAUUAAUAUUUAAUUGGGAGAAUUAUUAAAUUUAAAAAAUUUUAAUUUUAAAAAACUUUAAUUUAAGAAAAUAUAUUGAUCUUUAAAUUAAAAUUAAUAGAAUAAAUUACCUUAGGGAUAACAGCGUUAUAUUUUUUUAUAGAUCACAUAGAAAAAAAUGAUUGCGACCUCGAUGUUGAAUUAAGAUAAAUUUUAAAUGUAGAAAUUUAAUAAUUAAGUCUGUUCGACUUUUAAAAUCUUACAUGAUUUGAGUUCAAAUCGACGUAAG
rnacentral:rRNA from 1 species